rnacentral:rRNA from 1 species
ACGGAUAUCUCGGCUCACGCAUCGAUGAAGAACGUAGCAAAAUGCGAUACUUGGUGUGAAUUGCAGAAUCCCGUGAACCAUCGAGUUUUUGAACGCAAGUUGCGCCCGAAGCCUUUUGGCCGAGGGCACGUCUGCCUGGGCGUCACAC